rnacentral:misc_RNA from 2 species
GUACCUUCAAGCUUUGCUUGGUGUUGGGUGCUUGUCUUUUUGUUAAGACUCACCUCAAAGUCAUUGGCAGCCAGUGUUUUGGUAGUAAGCGCAGCACAUUUUGCGUCUUGGUCCCUUAACAGCAGCAUCCAUCAAGCCAUUUUCUCAC